rnacentral:misc_RNA from 1 species
GGGAAAAAAGGAGAGGAGAGCAUAAAUAGAAAUUGCAGAUGCAAAUAACAAUUUUUUCAGAAAAAGAAUGUUUUCCUUGCACAAAACAAACGACUACCAGAACAGAAGAAAGCAAGAAAUUUAUGAGACACGCAUGCAUUAUAAAAGGUCAGCACGCUCUGAUUCUUUUUACAGUCAUUUAUCUUCUUUUCUUGUUGCUCUUCAAUUCUAGUUAGUACAAGAAAACAAUACUCAAUAAGACUUUGACUUUGCUGCCUGCUGUCCACAAAAUCAAAAUAGCAGACCACAUUACAGGAAUAGAGUUGAGUAUAAUUCCAGAGAGUCCAAGCUGCUACUCGAUUAUCUGGGGGACCGCCUUCUCCAGCAUUGAUGUGCCCUUGAAUAUUGUCAACUGCAGCUCCCUUGUAUACUUCGAUACUUGUCCCUCGUUCAUCUUUCUGAAGCCAAAUCUUCCCGUCCAGAUUGACUCAGCUUCCUCAGCUGCUGGUAGCACUAGGUUUACCACCUUCAGAGAGCACAGUAACCUCUCAAUGCAUGAGAAUAGUGCUUGGAAGUAACCCUUUCCUUGAUGUUCUCUACUUGUCGCAACUAGAGGAAGCUCAGCAACUUCCCUACCAAAAAUUCUAAGAAGACCAGCUGAAACAACAACAUUCCUUACUAGCAAUAGCACACAGUACAUCCCCCCAAAUUCUUGGCCGGAAAUAUUUCUCCCAUAGACCAUAACAGGAAUCAGAUCACGACCACUUUUUGCAACGAUGGGAUCAAAACACUCUCGAAAAAUUGCAGCAGCUGAUGACAACAAUGAAAGAUCUUCUUUGUCACGACUUUUUCCCAUCAGAAUCCGCCAUUGAACAUCAUCAUUUGCUAGUCCAUCCAUAGAUGAUCCUUUCUCAGCAUGCUUUCUAGUUAUGAUAUUCAACUGUGACGCAGGAAUUAACUGUAUUCCGCUAGAAACAAAAUUCCUUAGAGCCAUAUAGAUCCGAUUGCAGUCAUUAGAACAGAACCAAUUACCCUUGGGGAGAGCUUUUAGAUCACAUAGUCCAUUGUCCCGCAAGCAACCAACAUGGAACUCCCUCUCACAUUGGUCACAAAGGAUAACUGUUCGGUCAUCAAAGUUAUUUGUGCUAAAAUCAUGAGCUCUGCAAAAAACACAACCACCAACUUCAUAUUCUGGAGUUUUAACAACUCGUGUCAACCGAAUGACAAUUGGUCUCGUAAUGUUUCCUCCGUGUUCAAACUUAUUACAGUUUGAACACUGCCAAACUCCAUUAGGAACGCACUGCAAACCCAAACAUGCUAGAUGAAAAGCUCGAGGGCAACUCUCGCAAAAGAUAAGAUCCCCUCCAUCACCACAUUUUGCGCACAUAUCAUCACUUACACCAGUAGUAAUGCUUUGCCCAUUCGCCAAUGAAAUGGCUAUAUCAUGGAGGGUCAAGCCAUUGGAAGUAUAUAUGUGGCGAUAUGGUUGACGCCUGGCAGCCAUUCCAGCAUGAGCUUCAAAUUGAGAUGGGCUUAUCUCUCUGUCACAGCAACUGCAGACUAUACCAUUUCCUUGCUUGUAACCAGCCAACAGUUCUUGUCCUUUGACAAAAUAAGCCAAUUCAGCACCAUCUGGAAGACCAUUUGGCAUGAAAAGUAAGCGGUGAAGAUCAUUAUCCCUUCUCUUAGUGCCUCCUUCAUUUGUUUUCUUUUGUUGCAUAAGUAAGCUAGGCCGCUUCAAUGCACGCUUUUGCUCUUCUGGCAUCUCUAUAUAUUUUUCUUGUCUAAAGGGGUUGUUAUUCAAGGAGCUUGAAGCAAGGCAAAAGCUUUCUUCUAAAGCUUGACUGGAGUAGCUUCCAAGUGAAAGAGGUGAACAAGGAAUGUUGUAAAAUCUUUUCUCUGCUCCACUUAUUCCAUUGCUUUGUUGAAGACUAGCUUUCCAAACCUGGAAGAACUCCUCAUUUAUGGACGAACCAGCCACAUCCUUUAUCACUUCAUCCAAUGCACUAAGUGGAGCAGUUUUUAGUUCAUGAAUAAUACUGCAAAUUGGUUUCCCAUUACCCAAGUAUAUGUGAUUGUUUGGAUGUCUAGUUUUGCCGCCAGCAUGCUGCUCAAACUCAUAGGCACUAAGAACUUUUGAGAAAUUACAUGAUGAACAGCCACACAAGUAUCCACCACCAUCUAUAAUUCCAUCUAGCUCUCGCUCUGGAGAAAAAUAUUUCACCCGAGCUCCAUCAAGUAUACCGGUUGAUAACAACUUCUUGACAUUUGUAGGGUAGUUGCUGGGAACAACCUUCUUAGACAUCUUCAAUUCCAUAUUGGGAGCACAGAAAUAUCUAUUUCCAUUUUCAAGCAUUUCUGCACCUGAAUUAACCCAAGCAGAGUAGUUUUUCCCACGUUCUUUACUAUACUGUUUUCGACCCAUCCGAUUACCUACAGGAUUAGCAACUGAAGUAAAAUUCUGGGUGUCAUAAUCCUCUUUUCUUUUGCUAAACUUGAAUGUAAUCUUCCUAAUUCCAGACGAACUAGCAUGCUUAGGAAUCUCCAGUACAACAUGAGAUGUAGAGACCACAUCAGAAGUUCCACUGCGAGCAAACUCACAUUGAGAGGCAUUGUUCUGACUGUUACGUUCUCCAUCCUCGCUUAGGGUGUCCCUCGGACUCGAAUUUCCAGAACACGUGGAUGUGACCUCGCCAGCACCCAGUUGCUUACAUGUAGCCAAUUCAGUUGGUUGGCUAGUGAUAUCCUGGCAACUGGAUGCAUUUUCUUUUGGAGAAAUUAAAGGAUUGGAAACUUCAGAUUUUAUGUCCUCAUUUGAAGCUUCUCUGGCUUGUUUCUUGUUAGGAAACGGUUCUGGUUCGGUGUCAUCUAUCAGAGAUUGAUGGUCUCUCUUCAAUUCAGUUAUUCCUGUAUUCUGUUGUCCAAGACCCAUCACCUCUGUCGAGAUAUCCAGACAAACUGCACCUUCUCCCAUUGAAAAACUCCAAACUCACCACUAUAAGAAGCGCAAAACCACACGACCGCAUUCAAGAUAGAAGCAAUAGCAAGAAAUAAACCCAAAUUUAAUUGCGACUGAACUCAAAUUUGUCCUCUGUAUACUCGCAUCAGAAUUCAAGUUCGCAACCAGAAAAAAAAAUCGAAAUAACAAUUCACACACUAGUCAAUGCCCAAAACAACCCGUAACUCAGAUACCAAGCAUUAUGAAAUUCAAAUCAAUCCCAAUAACUUUUGAAACUGUCAACAACCGCUGUAUCAAAUGAAAGAACCAAAACCUUGGACACGUGUAAAUUCACUAACGCCUACCUCUAUACAGCCUCCAAAAUCAAAAUGAAAUUCAAAUCUUGGAAACCGAAUCAAGAAAGCCUCUCUAGAUCGAAACGAAACACAUAGGUUGUGAAAUUCAAAGAAAGAAUGAACGAAAACAGGGUUGAAGUCAGGUUUCAGAUCUUGUAGAUCUAAGAUUGACAGAGAAAAACAGGUAUGAAUAUAGAAUGAUGAAGAAGAAAAGAAGGGAAAUCUAAUUAGGGUUAGGGUUUAAUUUCAGUUAAAAAUACAGCGGGAACGUGCAGAGCGGCAAAAAACCAGAGGGAGAAGCUUGGUUGGCGGUCCAGAUUUAACUUUUUUAAGGAAGGAGAUAAACUCUAGAGAGAGAAAUCAGAAAUGUCUGUUUAUUUAUUUAUUAUUUUUUUUAAGGGGAAA